AGUGUGAGACGCUUUAGUUACAUGUAGAAUGCAUAUUUGUUUAUUCUUUCACUAAAAAUACAAUUUUACAGUAAAUGAUAAUAUUAAAGUUUUAAGUAAGUCAGCAUUCAGUUAAUUUAUAAAGUACUCCUAAAUGCUGUUACUAAAUACCAAGGACUUUUAUUUACAUAAAUGGAAAGGUUUAAAUUUGACACAAGAACAAUCUAGCUUGUGUGUAUUAAACAAUGAUUAGAACCAUCUCUUCUUUCCAGGAAAGAUAAAAUAAAAUAGCAUCCACCACCACCGCUAAUGGCAUUUCUCUAGCCAAACCGUCAUGAACCUGUACUA
rnacentral:lncRNA from 1 species